UACAGAGGUCCCAAGCGUUGUUCGGAUUCACUGGGCGUAAAGGGCGCGUAGGCGGUCGGGUAAGUCUGGCGUGAAAUCUCCAAGCCUAACUUGGAAACUGCGUUGGAUACUAUCCGGCUCGAGGAAUGGAGGGGAGACUGGAAUACUUGGUGUAGCAGUGAAAUGCGUAGAUAUCAAGUGGAACACCAGUGGCGAAGGCGAGUCUCUGGACAUUUCCUGACGCUGAGGCACGAAAGCCAGGGGAGCAAACGGG
rnacentral:rRNA from 1 species